rfam:Cavia porcellus supercont2_1020 genomic scaffold, whole genome shotgun sequence.
GGGGAUUUAGCUCAGCGGCAUAAGCGCCUGUCUUUCAAACAGGCAGUUGUGAGUUCAAUCCCUG